rnacentral:ncRNA from 1 species
CAGCGCUGCCGCGUAAUGGCAUGACGGUUUGAACCGAGCCUUUGCCGAAACUUUGAGUUCCAACAAUGACCGCACGACGAUGGUCCUUCAACGCACCAGCAACGAUUUCAGAGGCAGACGCGGACCCACCAUUGAUCAAAACAACAAUGGGUUUUCCAUCAACAAUGUCGCCUGGUUUGGCGUUAUAACGCUCACCCUCUUCUGGAUUGCGACCGCGAGUUGAUACGAUUUCCCCUUUUUCUAGAAAAUCAUCCGCUACUUUGAUCGCCUGACUUAGCAGUCCGCCUGGAUUGUUACGCA